GAGUUUGAUCAUGGCUCAGGACGAACGCUGGCGGCGUGCCUAAUACAUGCAAGUCGAGCGGACUGGCGGAAGCUUGCUUCCAAAGGUCAGCGGCGGACGGGUGAGUAACACGUGGGUAACCUGCCUGACAGUCUGGGAUAACGCUUGGAAACGAGUGCUAAUACCGGAUAAUCUCUUGAAUCGCAUGAUUCGAGAUUGAAAGAAGCUUUUGCUUCACUGCCAGAUGGACCCGCGGCGCAUUAGCUAGUUGGUGAGGUAACGGCUCACCAAGGCGACGAUGCGUAGCUGACCUGAGAGGGUGACCGGCCACACUGGGACUGAGACACGGCCCAGACUCCUACGGGAGGCAGCAGUAGGGAAUCUUCCGCAAUGGGCGCAAGCCUGACGGAGCAACGCCGCGUGAGUGAUGACGGCCUUCGGGUUGUAAAACUCUGUCUUCUGUGACGAACAAGCCUGUGACUAANAUACUCAGGCCCUGACGGUAACAGAGGAGGAAGCCCCGGCUAACUACGUGCCAGCAGCCGUGGUAA
rnacentral:rRNA from 1 species